rnacentral:rRNA from 1 species
UGCGGCCUACGGGAGGCAGCAGUGGGGGAUAUUGGACAAUGGGGGAAACCCUGAUCCAGCGAUGCCGCGUGAGGGAAGAAGGUUUUCGGAUUGUAAACCUCUGUGGAGGGGGACGAUAAUGACGGUACCCCUUUAGGAAGCCACGGCUAACUACGUGCCAGCAGCCGCGGUAAUACGUAGGUGGCGAGCGUUGUCCGGAAUUACUGGGUGUAAAGGGAGUGUAGGCGGGGAAGAAAGUCAGCAGUGAAAACUAUGAGCUUAACCCAUAGGCUGCUUUUGAAACUGU